GACGUAGGGUGCGAGCGUUGUCCGGAAUUAUUGGGCGUAAAGGGCUCGUAGGCGGUUUGUCACGUCGGGAGUGAAACUCGGGGCUUAACCCCGAGCCUGCUUCCGAUACGGGCAGACUAGAGGUAUGCAGGGGAGAACGGAAUUCCUGGUGUAGCGGUGAAAUGCGUAGAUAUCAGGAGGAACACCUGUGGCGAAAGCGGCUCACUGGACCACAACUGACGCUGAGGCGCGAAAGCUAGGGGAGCAAACAGG
rnacentral:rRNA from 1 species